CGGCAACAGCUCAGAUUUGAAAUCCGGCCUCGGCCCGAGUUGUAAUCUGUAGGGGAUGUCCCUGGCGCGGCGCCUACCGAGUUCCCUGGAACGGGACGCCAUAGAGGGUGAGAGCCCCGUAUGGUGGGAUGCCUAGCCUUUGUGGGACUCCUCCGAC
rnacentral:rRNA from 1 species